CCGGUUUACCACAGUAACCUUUUAUCCGAAUAUUUCUCUCUCUACCUUACUUUCUCUAACUUCUCCGAUUUUUUCUAAGUUUUUCAAGUAAGGUACCGAGAACUAUUUAUAGCCAAGGCGACUCCGUCCUAGCCAUACACGUGUUGGCUCAACAUUCACCGCGCCAUGCACCAGUGCGCCAGCUGCUGCCGUGCAUGCUCACAUCUGCCCAGAUCGUGGGUCUAGGCGUAGGUCCACGCUGCCGGUCCUAGCCGUAAGUCCAUAGGUAUAUUCCCUUUGUCACGCACUUCGGCCGCACUUUUAGCUGUGUAUCUCGGCCAGAAUCCGUUUCAGCAACGAGUGUAAAGACUAAUCCAGCCUUAGCCUUUGUAGGUCCGUGAUAACACCAUAUUUUGAC
rnacentral:lncRNA from 1 species